rnacentral:lncRNA from 1 species
CGUCUAGAAGAUUCGUGUGUUAUCUACACAGCAAUUGCCAGUAAACACAUUGCAUCUGUUUUGUGGUAAAGUAUGAGAAUAGGUGGGCACUUGUUGGCAAUCUCCCCCUCCGGGCGUGGAUGACAGCGGAUAGGUGUAGUCGUUGCAUAGUCGAAAUAAAGGCGAGAUUCCCGCGCUGGGUGCGUGAAACAUAGCUGGUACCUCCUAGUGCUAUCAUUGCUUUUCCUUUAUAUAAAAGCCAGUUGUGUAUGUUCUGUCAUAAAUGGAGAAGUUGCGAAACGUUUUCGCUUUCCUAAAGGAUACGUCUAGAGUGAGAAGGGAACUCGACAACGUGGCCUUCCAUGUAUAUAUGUGGAGGUGGUGCGUGUGAGACAGUCGUGAGUUUUGUGACUUGCAACCCGUCUGCUCGUUCUUGCAGAUGGAUGUGUAGGCGGACCCACUUCUACAGAAAUGCGUAACGGCAACAUCGUGGAAUAAGUGGACACAGUGUUUUCUGACUCGUAGUUGAAGCUGCUUCUUCAUCGGGUUCUCAAACUCUGUAGGAAUCGAUUCGCCUAAGAAACCCGUUGAGUAAACAUGUCUCUUUUAAUACGUUUCUUCAUCUUUCUGGUGCAGAGAGUGAAUGAAGCACGCCGCUUACCGUAGCAGUGGAAAUCGUGAUGAUUCAGUCGCUCUUGUGAAAUGUUGGCACUGUGUUUCUGCAGGAACCUCACGCAGCCGUUUGUUAUGGAGGCAGUAGCGGAACUGCAGAAACAUCCGUAUUCUUUAGAGACAACUACAGUGCAGAUUAUGCUAAGUGUGUCACCACCAGUACCCCUUCGGGGAGGAAGUGGAUAUUUUCAUUCACGUCGGGUGCAACCGCGUUUGAUUCCCUUUCCCGAUAACGAAGCGCAGACGAUCAAACGUGCCCAGCUAUCAAACGUUUUUCUCUACGUCAAUGGGAAACUUGUGGAUACUGCUCGUAUGAAAAAGGACGGAAGGCUCAGUGUGGAUGUCGUGGUGGGGGACCAGAAGAUCGAUCUCUCCGGGAAAGUCGUCGAGCUAUGCAUCUAUGCUGUCAGCACGACUAAGUUAGUCGAGUUCGGUCUCGACUUUGAUAAGUUUAUUUCGCUUCACAAUAUCUGCAUCGAUGUGGAUGGCCAAAAGAUUACCCAGGACA